GGCCGGUUGGCCCAAUGGUAAGGCGUCUGACUACGAAUGUGGAAACCUCGGUUUGACGUGUAAUCAGGAGAUUCUGGGUUCGAGCCCCAGGCUGGUCA